GAAAUGCGAUAACUAGUGUGAAUUGCAGAAUUCCGUGAAUCAUCGAGUCUUUGAACGCACAUUGCGCCCCCUGGUAUUCCGGGGGGCAUUCCUGUCCGAGCGUCAUUGCUGCCCAUCAAGCACGGCUUGUGUGUUGGGUCGUCGUCCCCUCUCCGGGGGGGACGGGCCCCAAAGGCAGCGGCGGCACCGCGUCCGAUCCUCGAGCGUAUGGGGCUUUGUCACCCGCUCUGUAGGCCCGGCCGGCGCUUGCCGAACGCAAAUCAAUCUUUUUCCAGGUUGACCUCGGAUCAGGUAGGGAUACCCGCUGAACUUAAGC
rnacentral:misc_RNA from 1 species